AACGAACGCUGGCGGCAUGCCUAACACAUGCAAGUCGAACGAGACCUUCGGGUCUAGUGGCGCACGGGUGCGUAACGCGUGGGAACCUGCCUUUAGGUUCGGAAUAACUCAGAGAAAUUUGAGCUAAUACCGGAUAAUGUCUUCGGACCAAAGAUUUAUCGCCUUUAGAUGGGCCCGCGUUGGAUUAGCUAGUUGGUGGGGUAAAGGCCUACCAAGGCGACGAUCCAUAGCUGGUCUGAGAGGAUGAUCAGCCACACUGGGACUGAGACACGGCCCAGACUCCUACGGGAGGCAGCAGUGGGGAAUAUUGGACAAUGGGCGAAAGCCUGAUCCAGCAAUGCCGCGUGAGUGAUGAAG
rnacentral:rRNA from 1 species